rnacentral:rRNA from 1 species
GACAGAGGGUGCAAACGUUGUUCGGAAUUACUGGGCGUAAAGCGUGUGUAGGCGGUCUGCUAAGUCGGGUGUGAAAGCCCCGGGCUCAACCCGGGAAGUGCACUCGAAACUGGCAGGCUAGAGUAUCGGAGAGGUUGGUGGAAUUCUCGGUGUAGAGGUGAAAUUCGUAGAUAUCGAGAGGAACACCGGUGGCGAAGGCGGCCAACUGGACGAAUACUGACGCUGAGACACGAAAGCCAGGGGAGCGAACGGG